AAAUUGAAGAGUUUGAUCAUGGCUCAGAUUGAACGCUGGCGGCAGGCCUAACACAUGCAAGUCGAGCGGUAGCACAGAGAGCUUGCUCUCGGGUGACGAGCGGCGGACGGGUGAGUAAUGUCUGGGAAACUGCCUGAUGGAGGGGGAUAACUACUGGAAACGGUAGCUAAUACCGCAUAAUGUCGCAAGACCAAAGUGGGGGACCUUCGGGCCUCAUGCCAUCAGAUGUGCCCAGAUGGGAUUAGCUAGUAGGUGGGGUAAUGGCUCACCUAGGCGACGAUCCCUAGCUGGUCUGAGAGGAUGACCAGCCACACUGGAACUGAGACACGGUCCAGACUCCUACGGGAGGCAGCAGUGGGGAAUAUUGCACAAUGGGCGCAAGCCUGAUGCAGCCAUGCCGCGUGUGUGAAGAAGGCCUUCGGGUUGUAAAGCACUUUCAGCGGGGAGGAAGGCGUUAAGGUUAAUAACCUUGGCGAUUGACGUUACCCGCAGAAGAAGCACCGGCUAACUCCGUGCCAGCAGCCGCGGUAAUACGGAGGGUGCAAGCGUUAAUCGGAAUUACUGGGCGUAAAGCGCACGCAGGCGGUCUGUCAAGUCGGAUGUGAAAUCCCCGGGCUCAACCUGGGAACUGCAUUCGAAACUGGCAGGCUAGAGUCUUGUAGAGGGGGGUAGAAUUCCAGGUGUAGCGGUGAAAUGCGUAGAGAUCUGGAGGAAUACCGGUGGCGAAGGCGGCCCCCUGGACAAAGACUGACGCUCAGGUGCGAAAGCGUGGGGAGCAAACAGGAUUAGAUACCCUGGUAGUCCACGCCGUAAACGAUGUCGAUUUGGAGGUUGUGCCCUUGAGGCGUGGCUUCCGGAGCUAACGCGUUAAAUCGACCGCCUGGGGAGUACGGCCGCAAGGUUAAAACUCAAAUGAAUUGACGGGGGCCCGCACAAGCGGUGGAGCAUGUGGUUUAAUUCGAUGCAACGCGAAGAACCUUACCUGGUCUUGACAUCCACAGAACUUAGCAGAGAUGCUUUGGUGCCUUCGGGAACUGUGAGACAGGUGCUGCAUGGCUGUCGUCAGCUCGUGUUGUGAAAUGUUGGGUUAAGUCCCGCAACGAGCGCAACCCUUAUCCUUUGUUGCCAGCGGUUAGGCCGGGAACUCAAAGGAGACUGCCAGUGAUAAACUGGAGGAAGGUGGGGAUGACGUCAAGUCAUCAUGGCCCUUACGACCAGGGCUACACACGUGCUACAAUGGCAUAUACAAAGAGAAGCGACCUCGCGAGAGCAAGCGGACCUCAUAAAGUAUGUCGUAGUCCGGAUUGGAGUCUGCAACUCGACUCCAUGAAGUCGGAAUCGCUAGUAAUCGUAGAUCAGAAUGCUACGGUGAAUACGUUCCCGGGCCUUGUACACACCGCCCGUCACACCAUGGGAGUGGGUUGCAAAAGAAGUAGGUAGCUUAACCUUCGGGAGGGCGCUUACCACUUUGUGAUUCAUGACUGGGGUGAAGUCGUAACAAGGUAACCGUAGGGGAACCUGCGGUUGGAUCACCUCCUUACCUUAAAGAA
rnacentral:rRNA from 1 species